CAGAACUCCGCGGAUCAAAUGGUUUCUCCGGAUUCUGAGGCAAAAGAAGUGAUCAAGAGUAAUGUCGAGAAGGACUGUGCAGGGGCAUUUCAGUCAUUUUCAGGGUUCGAUCACUUAAAAGAUCGUGACUCAGCUGGUGUUUCACCUGAUCAUGAGACCAAACCAGACAUAACUGGAUACAGUAACCAAAGUCAAUGGUCUUUGUUCGAGAAGUGGCUGUUUGAGGAUUCCGGUGGACAGGUUGGUGAUAUUUUAUUGGAUGAAAACCCUAAUUUCUUCUGAAAAUUUUGGUUAAUCAGAUGGUUUUCGAAUUAACUCGCUAAAAUUAUGGUUAGCUGAAUCGUUUAUAAUUUUACUUAUUUUCCUUCGUUAUAAUGAUAGGUUGUUCUACAACUGGCCUUGUAAAUCUCUAGGGGCCUGAAAUAUGUCCCCCAAUGAUUUUAGUGUUGGUGUAAUAUUUUUCUAAUACUCAAUUUGAUAUUUUGAACUAUUGUUUUUAUGUUAUUUGCAUGUUAUGUUUGUAUUCUAAACAGAUUUAAGAACAAUAACACUCAAAUAUAAUGUUUAAGAGAUUAAUACCGUUACUACGAUAAGACAUGCGCGUUGCGCAGGGUGAAUUUAUUUGUAUAUAUUAUCGAUAAUUUUUUUAUAUAUUUAAUUAUUUUAUUUAUACAUAUACAAUAUUUUUUGUUGUUAUUAUAUAAUUUAUUUCCGAUGGACGGACCUAGGGGUGUUCAAUCUGGCAAAAUCGAACCAAUUAAAACUGAACCGAACCAAAUUAGAGAAAGUGGUUUGGACUUGGUAAUACCAAAUAUACCGAAUGUAUGUCAUUUUGAAAACCGCGGUAUUUGGAUAUGGUUUGGUAUAUAAACCGAUCAAACCGAAUAAACUGAUCAUUUAAAAUAUAGUAGUAUAAUUAUAUGUAAAUUUUAUAAUAUAAUUAAGAAUAUAUACAUAAUUAUUUUAUUAAUUUGAUUUUUAUAUUGAAACAUUGUUUUUAGUAACUAAAUAUUUUGUUUUAAGUUAAAAGUUAUGUUUUAUUUUUAUCAAAUUAAAUAAAACAUAACGUUUACCCUUUUGUUAACAAAUAUGAGUGUUUAGAUUUAGUUAUUUAUAAUAUUAUGGAUUACUAAUUUCUAUUAUGUAAAAAAUAUUAUAAUUAUUAACUUAAUAUGUUUGCUAAAUAUUUUAAAUAGUAAAAACCGAAAUAUCUUCAUGUUAUAUAAAAACUAAUAUAUAAUAAUAUAAAUAAAAUCCAUAAAAUACUUUUUUUAAAAAAAAAUUAUGGUAUUUUGGUAUUUUGAUAUAAAACCGAAUAAACCAAAAACCGACGGUAUAUAAACAAAAAAAAAACAGAGUAAAUAUGGUUUUAAUAUGGUAGCUAUUUUUCAUAAACUAAAAUAUCGAAAAACCAAAAAAAUCAAACCGAAACCGAACCGAUAUCUGGAUUUAACACCCUUAGAUGGACCGGAUCAUUUUUUAUUAAAAAUGGUGGAACUAAACUAUGAUUAAUAUAUUAUGGGUUGAUCAGAUUGGACAUUAAACAAAUUAUGACACAAAAACUUUAUUAUUUUCCACCAAACACAUUUUUGAAAAAUUUGAACAGUAUUGUUUCCACAGUUGAAUUAUUUUGACAUUUAUCUUCCAUAUGAUUUUGAAAAGUUUCAGAUCAACCAUCGAAUUAAUACAUGUUAUUUUAAUGUUUUUAGUUGUUUGGUUAAGAAAAACUUACAUUUUUGUAAUUUAAAGUCGGUUUAAAAAAUUCAAAAUAUAACAUAUAAGAAAAAAUCUAACAUAUAAGAAAAAUAAAAUAUAUAAGGUUUCCUUAUUUUUGUAAUUUAAAGUCGUUUUAAAUUUUUUUAAAUAUAACAUAUAAAGUUUGCUCAUUUAUGUAAUUUCAAAGUCAUUUAAAAAAAAAUCAAAAUAUAACAUAUAAGAAAAAAAAAUCUAUUUUUUUAUUAUAUGGUUAAUGUGAUUGUUUAAUAUUUUUAAUAAUAUAAAUUAAACAAAAAUAAAGAAGGAUGCAAAAAUUGUUAUCAAAUAUUUAUAAUUCAUAGUCAUUAAUUGUCAUAUAUAUGUUAAUCAUAUUAGGUAAUUCUGUAACUUUUAUUUAAGGAAAGAAUACACAUUUCUUAUACUUUAGGUUAAUAUAAUGUUCUCUAGUAGGAUCUAAGAAAUCAGUACCUAAAUAUUGAGAAUCCUCGUGACCUUUGGACAAAAUUAAAAUCCAGAUACACAAUGGUGUUAUUACCAAAGGUCAGGCAUGAAUGGAUGAGUCUCAGAUUCCAGGACUUUGAGUCUGUGGAUGAAUAUCAUUUUGCUUUGUCCAAAAUUGUUUACAAACUGAGACUAUGUGGUGAAGUGGUAACAGAGGAGGAUUUACUGGAAAAGACCUUGCUCCCAGCCGAUCCAAGAGAUCUAUUGUUACAACAUAUCUAUAGAGAAAAAGGUUUCACCACCUAUAAUGAUCUGCUCUCAUGCCUAUUACUAACUGAGCAGAGUAAUCAGUUGCUAAAAAGAAAUAGUGAGAUGAGACAUCUUGAAGCCAAUAAGGCUGAAGAAGAUAAGAAAGAAUCCAAGGAAGCCACGUCCAAAGUAACGGAUGGUGUGGCCGGCUUGUCUAUUGACUAAGAAAAUGAGAUUUCGACAUACUGAUUUUGUGUUAAGUUUUUUAUUUAUGUUUUGCUUUGACCUUCUUGUCAUUUAAUAAUAGAAUUGAUUUGAGUUCAUUACUAUUAUAUCUUGUCUGAUCUUACUUGAUAAUGUGAAUGAUUGAUAAAGAAAUCGCCUAAAAAGCAUUAUGGUACGGUAUAGUAGCCUAGUAAGAAAUCUAUGGCUAAGGCAUUGCCUAAAGGACAUUAUAUACACCCAAGAAUGUUUGACCCGUUGAGUUAAUAUGGUUUCCAAAUAGAAACAAUGGGCAAAAGGAAGCAAGUUCCUUCAGAUUUAAGAAAGAAAGAAAACGCCUAAGACCCUUUAAGAAAGUGUUUAAGACUAUACCUAUGUAAUCUACUGAUCAAAACUAUGCUAAAGAUCAGUAUGAUAAAAGGCAAGAGCCAUGGUAACCAGAUUGGUAUACCCCACAGAAAUUAUACACUUUAUGGCACGACUGGAUUAGCCAUCCUAGUCUAAACUUGAUGCAAAGAUUGAUAUUGCAAAAGGCACACAGAGUUAUCCCAUAGUAUCUCACGUUGUGUAACAUGUACACAAGGGAAACUCAUUAGGCUUUAUUGUCCCAAGCAUCACGAAAUUAUAGUAUGUUCAUGAGGGAGAGUGAGGAUACCCCCAUGGUCCAUGACCAUACUAUAAACACGUAUAUAACAGCUUGGCCGUACAUGCUAUUACCUAUAAGGUUCAGACUCUAAAGUCUAUAAGCUUAGGGACAUCACGAGUUUUACAUGUAUAUAAAUUUAAUAAGCAUCAGGCCAUAUAAGUGAGCAUAGAUAUUCUCAUCUCAGAUUGAAUACGGAUCAUAAACCAGACAUACACCAUCUUAAGAGACUUUGAAUAAACCACCACAGACAUAUGUGCCGUCUAAGAUGGAACCUCAGAAGAGGAUUGGGAAUAUAUGUUGGAUAAGAGUAUGAAUUUCUGCCACGACUUCUAAGAGACCUUGAGCCAAAUAUGGGUGAUCAGAAAGUGGCCAGGUACACGGAUUGUAUGAUCAAUGAAUCCGAAUAUCCAACAUUAAAAAGAGAAAGCUAUAAGCUGGUAAAGAGUAAAGAAUGAUAAGAAACAAAAUGGUAUCAACCAUCAUUGUUUUGGCAAAGAUCCUCGGAUUAGAAUUAUAGACGUCCAAAGAAAGAAAAGAUUAUACAUAGCUAGCUAAUCGAGAUGCCAGACACUGACCCGAAAAGAAAAGAAAAGAAUGACUAAGUCAUAACCAGCUUAGCACCAAACGAAAUCUGAUGUCCUAGAAAGAGACACAGUCAAGUUGCUACAGAGUCUAUACAAGAUAUAUCAAAGUUUUCCAUAAGAUAAGGAACCUCGGAAAGAGAAAGGUGCAUAGAAUACAAAUCCGAGGUCAUAAGGAAACCGGACCAGACAUUGAGAAAAGGCUGCGCAGCUAAACAUCUAAGGUACCAAACCAUGUAGUUUGGGACGCCGAGCUACUAGGUAACAAAGGUCCUGGAUAAUGAAAUCUCAAAUUGAUUAGAUCAUCACUUUCGGAAACGGAGAGAUUAUAUUUUUAUUGUAAAAUACCAAUCUACAAUAUACUUCCUAUAUAUAUUGGUGGCUGUCAAAAUUUUGUAUUAAUAUAGAAGAAAGUAGAGGAUUCGUAGCUUAUACUAAAAUGUUAUGCUUUCGAAUGAUAUGAUUCACCGAAUGAUGAAACUGUAGAAAAUGAAAAAAAAAUAUAAAAUGAAAAUUUCUGAGUAAAUUGAACGUUUCCCACUCCCAAAAUAUAUAUACAAACUUGCUCUUUUGUAAGAAUAUACUUUUACAAACUUUUUUAAUUAGAUGUAAACCACAAAAAAGAAAGAAAACUUUCAUUUUUCGAAAUUACGUCUUAAUUUGAGUUUUUGUUAACUUUAAUUACGUCUUCAAGUUUUUUUUUUGUUUCAAUACGUCUUUGAGUUGAUAACGCAACUCUGCAGUUCCAGUCCAAAUUAUUGAUAAACAGCCUGUUAACACGAUUAUACUCCAAUUGUUAUAAGCUAACAACAAUUGGUUAAGUUUCCACAAUAUGUAAUUUCACACUUGUACAAACUAUAGAAAACCUUACCUGCAUAAAUAAAUAGAUAUAGCACAGCAUUGACAAAAGAGAAGAGAUUAAAGGAGUCCCGUGUCUCUUCUUCUUCCUUUCCUUCCGGCCUCGUGAAAACAAAAUUGAUAUCAUCUUUUAUAUAUACACAUUACAUAUAUACACUCAAGUACACAUAAAUAGAAUAUGGUUGUGUGACUUGUGUUUAUUGAAUCCAAUAAUCCUCAUUAUCUUAUGCCAAAUUCUCAUGCAAUUAUCUCUUAAUCUCUUUUCACCACCUACGAUAAUUAACGAAUGCAUAAGUAACCUACAAUUAAUUUCAUCAAUAACUGUGUUUACCAAAAGUCCAGAUGUGGUCCAUCAAUUAAUUACGAUAUCCGAGAAAACAUACUAAAUUAACAAUAACAUCAUGUAUGACGUAGAUCAUCAUGUAAAUUUGACAAAAGGCCAAAGUCCCACUGGUUCAAUCCGAAACAGCAAUUUUUUUCUUCUGUUUUCAUGGCAACCCGAAGCAAAUCAUGGAGCUAGAGAAAAUCUCGUUCGUCAAAAGAUCCUUUCAUCAAUUUCUAUUAUUAACGAGGCCCACGUCUUACACAUAAAUGCAUAGUCACUAUUCAAUUCUUAAAAUUAUCGUAGCAAUAGAUCAAAAGCUAGAGAGUGAGAUUUCAUAUCAUAUAAUAUUUACCAUGUUGUCAUGCAUUUCCCCAUUGUUCUUAAUUUUUAUGACAUAAAAUAGUUAACUAACACGAUGAUUAAUCCGAGAUUCUUUGCCAAAAAAAAAUAAAAACGGUUUCUUAACUUUUAACUAAAAAAAACUAAGAACCGGUUUUUAUAAAGUCUUUAUUUAAGAACCGGUUAUUAGUUUUUUUAGUUAAAAAAUAAAAAACAGUUUCUUAACUUCCGUUAAAGACUCCAUCAUAAAAAGCCCGGGUUAAUCAUGCUCUAACAAUUUUAUGAUAUUAGGGUUUUUGAAAGGAGCAAGCCCACAUUGAAUGCCACGCGGUUUUGUGUGGAGCGUAGAGACUUUUCCUUUUGCCACACAGCUGACUUUGGAGGCUUUACCUCCACUUUUGUAGUUAAUGCUUUACAUAUUUUAUUUAUUAAAUACUCAAUUUUGAGAGAACCAAUGGCCCAAGACCAAGAGGGGUCAGCAAUUUUAUCUUUCUCUUUUUUUAUAUAUAUAGAAGAAGAAGGUGGACCUUUGUCACCAAGCUUAACCAUUAGAUCCUUCCAAAACUAAGAGUGCCAUUAGUGAGCUUAAAGAGUACUGUGAGACUCAUCAACAACUAAAGCUGUCUCAAUUUUCUUCUAUUUUCUAGGCAAAAAGUUGUUAGUGGAAAACUUAAGUGAGGCAAAAAGAGAAAAGGGAGUGACUAAUUAAAUUAAUUGAUUGAUUGUUUAAGAGAGAGAUCAAGAUAAUGGUGAGACCCCCUUGUUGUGACAAAGAAGGAGUGAAGAAAGGGCCAUGGACUCCUGAAGAAGAUAUCAUUUUAGUUACUUACAUCCAAGAACAUGGUCCUGGUAAUUGGAGAGCUGUUCCCACCAAUACUGGUAUAUGUCUAAUCUUCUUAUCUCUCCCUCUCUUUAUCUAUGUAUAUAUCAUCUCUCGGGAUAUGAAUAUACAUAGAGAUAUUAUUAGGGUUAUGUAGGUAAGAUAUAGACAAGGGAUCAAAAUGGUUAUGUAUUGAAUUUGGUUGAUAUAUGUAUUCUCCAAAUGGGUUUAAUUGUGGAAUAAGAGUAAUCAGAACCAUAUUUUGAAAUUAACUAGCUAGAAUUUUCUUUAUGGACUUUAGGAUCAAGAUCUAGUGCAUGAGCUUAACUUUUUACUCGGUUUUUAAUACUUACUAUACCUUUAUCGUCAUUUGUUCUUGUAAAAUUCAGGGUUGCUUAGAUGCAGCAAGAGUUGUAGGCUUAGAUGGACGAACUAUUUAAGACCAGGAAUCAAAAGAGGCAACUUCACAGAACAUGAAGAGAAGAUGAUUGUACAUCUCCAAGCCCUCUUAGGCAAUAGGUACUUAAAUUAACCUAAUCACAUUCAAUCAAAAGAUGAUUUCUCUAUUUUUGUCUCUCACAACCUUUUUAAAUUAGAAAAAUUAAUAAUAGAGGGCAUUUAAUAUUUGGUGUAUAGAUGGGCUGCAAUUGCGUCUUAUCUUCCACAAAGGACAGACAAUGACAUUAAGAACUAUUGGAACACUCACUUGAAGAAGAAACUCAACAAAGCCAAUCAAGUUUCUCAUCAAGAACAUGAUCAAUCAAGAGACCGUUCCUCACUCUCUUCUUCUCCAUCGUCUUCCUCUGCUAAUUCCAAUUCAAAUAUUAAUAUCGCAAGAGGCCAAUGGGAAAGAAGACUUCAAACCGAUAUUCACUUGGCGAAAAAGGCUCUCUCUGAGGCUUUGUCUCCUGCCGUAGCACCGAUCAAUACAGCAACAACAUCUUCUUCUGCUGAAUCAAGACUUACUACUUCCUCAGCUAGUGGGUUUCUUAGGACACAAGAAACAUCCACCACUUAUGCCUCAAGCAUCGAGAAUAUAGCGAAAUUGCUCAAAGGGUGGGUGAAGAAAUCGCCAACUCAGAACUCCGCGGAUCAAAUGGUUUCUCCGGAUUCUGAGGCAAAAGAAGUGAUCAAGAGUAAUGUCGAGAAGGACUGUGCAGGGGCAUUUCAGUCAUUUUCAGGGUUCGAUCACUUAAAAGAUCGUGACUCAGCUGGUGUUUCACCUGAUCAUGAGACCAAACCAGACAUAACUGGAUACAGUAACCAAAGUCAAUGGUCUUUGUUCGAGAAGUGGCUGUUUGAGGAUUCCGGUGGACAGGUUGGUGAUAUUUUAUUGGAUGAAAACCCU
rnacentral:lncRNA from 1 species